GACGAACGCUGGCGGCGUGCUUAACACAUGCAAGUCGAACGGAAAGGCCCCUUCGGGGGUACUCGAGUGGCGAACGGGUGAGUAACACGUGAGUAACCUGCCCUUGACUUCGGGAUAACUUCAGGAAACUGGGGCUAAUACCGGAUAGGAAUCCUUGCUGCAUGGUGGGGGUUGGAAAGCUUCGGCGGUUUUGGAUGGACUCGCGGCUUAUCAGCUUGUUGGUGGGGUAGUGGCUUACCAAGGCUUUGACGGGUAGCCGGCCUGAGAGGGCGACCGGCCACAUUGGGACUGAGAUACGGCCCAGACUCCUACGGGAGGCAGCAGGGGGGAAUAUUGCACAAUGGGCGGAAGCCUGAUGCAGCAACGCCGCGUGCGGGAUGACGGCCUUCGGGUUGUAAACCGCUUUCAGCAGGGGCGAAGCUUGUGGUGACGGUACCUGCAGAAGAAGCACCGGCUAACUACGUG
rnacentral:rRNA from 1 species